AUUGAACGCUGGCGGCAGGCCUAACACAUGCAAGUCGAGCGGUAGAGAGAAGCUUGCUUCUCUUGAGAGCGGCGGACGGGUGAGUAAUGCCUAGGAAUCUGCCUAGUGGUGGGGGAUAACGUUCGGAAACGGACGCUAAUACCGCAUACGUCCUACGGGAGAAAGCGGGGGAUCUUCGGACCUCGCGCCAUUAGAUGAGCCUAGGUCGGAUUAGCUAGUUGGUGAGGUAAUGGCUCACCAAGGCGACGAUCCGUAACUGGUCUGAGAGGAUGAUCAGUCACACUGGAACUGAGAAACGGUCCAGACUCCUACGGGAGGCAGCAGUGGGGAAUAUUGGACAAUGGGCGAAAGCCUGAUCCAGCCAUGCCGCGUGUGUGAAGAAGGUCUUCGGAUUGUAAAGCACUUUAAGUUGGGAGGAAGUGCAGUAACCUAAUACGUUAUUGUUUUGACGUUACCGACAGAAUAAGCACCGGCUAACUUCGUGCCAGCCGCCGCCGUAACAC
rnacentral:rRNA from 1 species